GACGAACGCUGGCGGCGUGCUUAACACAUGCAAGUCGAGCGGAAAGGCCCUGCGGUUGUCUCGAGCGCGAGAGGGGAGAGUAAGAGGUAAACGAGCGGCACUUGACCUUGGGAUAGGGCUAGGAAACGGGGACUAGGACUGGAAACUCCUACUAAAUCGUAUGGCAUGGUGGGGAAUGUUUAUCGGUCGGGGAUGGACUCGCGGCCUAUCAGCUUGUUGGUGGGGUAGUGGCCUACCAAGGCGAGGACGGGUAGCCGGCCUGAGAGGGUGACCGGCCACAGUGGGACUGAGACACGGCCCAGACUCCUACGGGAGGCAGCAGUGGGGAAUAUUGCACAAUGGGCGGAAGCCUGAUGCAGCGACGCCGCGUGCGGGAUGACGGCCUUCGGGUUGUAAACCUCUUUCAGCAGGGACGAAGCGUAAGUGACGGUACCUGCAGAAGAAGCGCCGGCCAACUACGUG
rnacentral:rRNA from 1 species